UGUACCUUAUUAUACUUGCUCUUAGUUAAGAGCUAGCUCUAGCACGUGCUCCUAGGCACUUUGUGAUAGUAAAAGGUGGGCCAUAUAAUAAAUAAAUAGUACACUUUUUUAACCAACUAUUAUACAUGUUAGCUAUAAGGUGAGCUAUAGAUGACAUGGCAAUGCUUAUAGCCAGCAGCUGGCUAUACUAUUAACCAUGCGUUGUGGCGAUCAAAUGAUUUUACGGAUGAAAUGGAAAACCAUAUACUAGAUCAAGAAUUAUUAAUUAUUUAUUGAUCGUUUUGUAUGAAAUGAAUCUAGUUGCACACAAACAAUUUAUUCAUUCACAUUGAAGCAAUAUUUCUAGUACAUAUAUAAAGUUAUUUCAUGGAACUUCUUAGUUCCUCCUGCAGCAGCAGCUGCUACUACUGCCUUCAACGCAACUGCUGUGAUCCUUGUUAUAACCUCGGCCAGCAUACUAAGCCUUGCACGCAAUGUAGCCACUAGCUCGGUCUGGUGGCGAACAAUACUCCACAGUUGUGCAGUCUUCAAAUAUAUCUAUGCACAAAGCACAAUAGAGAUACCCCAAUCAACACAUAGAACACACUAAUAAAAUAUAUGUUUGUGUAUCCAAAUACGAGUGGAGAGAUCAUGGAAGAACGAGGAAACUCAUACCUAUGUAACUCCCUGCUGCAUGACCAGAGAAGAAAGUGGCGGCCAUGGCUAUAAGAGCUAUGAAGCAUAGGGCACGUGUGUAGUUCCUCAUAUGUGCCAUGAGAGAUAGUUAGCUAUUGGUUUUCUUCUAGUGUUGUUGGUUGAUUUUUC
rnacentral:lncRNA from 1 species